UACAGAGGUCUCAAGCGUUGUUCGGAUUCAUUGGGCGUAAAGGGUGCGUAGGUGGCGGGGUAAGUCAGGUGUGAAAUCUCGGAGCUCAACUCCGAAACUGCACUUGAUACUGCCUUGCUCGAGUACUGGAGAGGAGAUUGGAAUUUCCGGUGUAGCGGUGAAAUGCGUAGAUAUCGGAAGGAACACCUGUGGCGAAAGCGGCGCACUGGACCAAAACUGACGCUGAGGCGCGAAAGCUAGGGGAGCAAACAGG
rnacentral:rRNA from 1 species